ensembl:lncRNA
CUGGAUGGUCUGAGAGGUCUUCUCCAACCUGAACGAUUCUAUGCUUCUGUGUAAUAAUUGUAUUAAACAAAUAGUGCAGAUACUGAUGUACAAGUCAGGGUAGCCACUUUGUUUCAGAGAUACUGAUGUCUACAAGUGGCCCACGUGCAAUGCCAGUGUGAUGUGGAACAGGUGAGUUUUCCUCAGUCUUCCAUCUGAGGCCCCCAGCUACUCUGACAGGAAUUAAAUCAGCCAGGAGUCCAAACUGAGUGGUUCCUCUGAGGUUCAGUGACCUUAAGCAGUCCUAUUUGACACUGGACUCUUAUGGACUUUUUUAGAUUCAAGUAUGUGCCUGAACUAUCUUGGGAAGCCAAUGGUGGAGAAUUUAAGCAAAGUCAGUAACUUAUGCAAAUGGCUGGGUGGACCCACAGAAGUCUGCCCCGUAGGUUGUGGCCUCUGUGCCAGUGGGCACAGCACUGCAGAUGAAGGCCAGGAAGUAAUCAACUGGGAAGCAAGGCUGCAGUAAAGCUCCCAGGCUGAACGUGAGGCAGCAAAGCUGUGGUAAAUGGAACAAAAGACUGCAGCAGUGUAUACAAAGGAGUGUGUUAGCUGCAAGUCCCUUUAGGUCAUGGCAUGUUAAGAUACAAGCUCGUGUACUGACUUUUGUCAGGCACAGCACUUCCAGAUUGAGCAAACCUGCUGUGCAGUGCACAGAAUCAGAGGGGUUCCAGAUAAUGCAGCCAGCAAGAAAAAAUGGAAAUGGAUGAGGCGCUUUUUUUUCUUCCUCCUAGAGGGAAGCAAGCAUGAAAAUAACGUUCAGCGGAGGACUGGCUUUCUUAAAAUGGAGUGAGUGGGGCAGCAAAGCACAGGGUUAACAUACAGCAGGUGGGGAUAAAACGCUAAGGACACAGACCUCGAAACGGUAAGGAUAGCAGAGGACCACAGCAGAUUGUCUGAGCUGGGAUGGAGCCUCACUGUCAGGGCUUUGAGGAGGGGCUGAACAAACACGAGCUGCAGGCAAAAAGAGAUUUCUGAGGAAGCAGAUGUGUAGGUGGGCUGCUGAGGGCCCAUUCUGCAGUAGUCUCUGAGCAGAUCGGCCCUGCCCUCUCUGCCACAUAAGCAUCAAUGUCCCACUCCUCUGCUGGGUGGAGCAGUGUCAGACGUGGCCAUGUCCAGGCACUGCUGAUGUUAAGAAGAGCAGAAGAACCAAGAUAGCUACACCGCCCUGCAUGCGUUGGACUGUCCUGUUGUGCCUGCAGUAACUGCUCUCCAACCUAGGCUUGCAUUUGUUUGUCUCAAAUUCCUGGCCCUGCAUUAACAUAACCAUCGUAAACCUCGCACUGAGUGCUGCAGCCUUCAUAAAUGUGGGAGAAGAACCAUGCAGCAAGACAGAAGGGACCUGCCUCAUGGAAUCAUGGAAUCACUCAGGUUGAAAAAGGCUUCAAAGAAAACCCCAACCCGCCCCACCGUGCCCACUGCUCACGUCCCUCAGUGCCACAUCCCCACAGUUCUUGAACACCUCCAGGGACGGUGACUCCACCACCUCCCUGGGCAGCUGUGCCACUGCCUGAACGCUCUUUUGGAGGAGAAAUUCUUCCCAAUACCCAUCCGAUCUUCCUAAUAUCCUCAUGUCAACCAGCAGGGCUGUAGCAGGAACCAUAUUUCCCAGGAGAUGGAAUCCCACAGUGUUGGACACUGCAUACACCCAGCCAGGAGCAGAUCUGUGCCCUGCCUAUCGGUAAGCUGCACGGACAAGGAAGGGAGUUGUUUCUGCUUUACCUGCUGGUGAACCCAUGCCAAGUGUGCAGUCCAGGUGCUCGGCUCUCCCUAACCACAGUGCGGGGCUCCACUUAUGGGUCACUUCCUUGUGCUAUUUGAACCAAAACUGGUGGCAUUUAAUCCUGGCAGGCUGCUGUCCAUGCCUCCUGUAACUAUCAUUUGGCUUUCUGUUGAGCAGCUAAUUAAUCGUACAGAGGUUAGUGCAACAGUAGCAAAGUUGAAUUUGCAUUAGAUGGAGAGGGUGGGAUGCUGAAAGCAACAAGGACUGAUGCAUUUUCUACCAGCAAAAGACCUUGCUACAUUUGCGGCUAUUUAAAGGAAAGCACGGCGCUGAAGUUCCGUUCUGCACCUGAUGACUUGCAGACCGGGCUGCUUCCAUCAAGCUCCAUUUUAUCCUAUUAAGCUAAAAUGUGCUUCAGCCUGUCAUUCCUCCCACCUGCUAUUUACUCCCUCCCUUAAAGAACUGUCACUCUUUGCUCCGGAGAUGCCUGGGACUAAAAAACAUGCUUAUCCCUGGAGAGGGCAGAGACUCGAGGUCACAGCUGAUGUGCACUGGUGAAGCAGCAUGAGGAAACCUACAUUGCGUGAAUAAAUAAGUGGCUGUAGCUCAGCCUGGGCUGGGUGGAAGAGACAAGAUGGAUGGAUCAAAAGAGAGGAGCAGAUGGGUGGGCUCCUCUUUGAAUCCUUCGUUUCACCGACGUCUGCCUAAAAUGUAUGGAUACGUCUAUUAUAAUCACGUAUGUACUAGGCACGUAUGCAUACACAAUAGCUGAUGCCUUUGUACGUAUGUGUGGUAGAAUCACGUGGGAUUUCAUCUGACCAGGCAUGCCUGAGCAGCGCUGCGUGGAGCUAUGGGAGCACUGAUGCAUUUCAGGUGAUGGAAGCUGCCCUGUGUGGCUGCCAAUGCCAGAGUGCUGCAUGCCUGCCCGGAGCUGCCUCGCGUGCUCCAAAGCAGAGCCCUGAGCUGCAGGCACAAAGGGGACGCGCUCCGAUGUCACACCGCAUCCAGAGGAAGCACCAGGCAAGAGCAGCAUCCAGCAUUUGAGAGCUCACUGCUGAGGCCACUGAGUUGAUGUCAGAACGGGGCUGUGCUGGCGGCGUUGCUGUGCCCUCCUGGCCCUGCCUCGGACAGAUGGGUCUCCUCCUCUCAUUGCAGCUGUUCUCCACCUUUCUUUGUGAGAGCUGGCCUCCGGCACUGCGACUUCCCAAGCACGAGGUCCCAUAAGAAUUCACUGUUAUCCCGUUCCAAAGGGCUUAGCUCUAAAUGUCCCACUGUAGAGGAGAUACCUCCAUGCCGGCCCGUGGCCAGAGACGGUUCUCCCUCCUCCUCGUCCCACUGUGCGCUCAGAGCUUUGCAGUAGAUUUUGCUGGGUUUUCUGUGCGCUGUGCUUCUUCAUUUUGUCCCAUAGCUUCGCCUGCACGCGUCGUGCAAAGCCCGUGCCCCUCCGUGUGGGCACUGCAGCUCGGAUGUGAGACCCACGGCUUUGGUGAGGGUCAGGAGAGGCACAGCACUGUGGUCCCAUGCAGCGGGUGCUGCCCGGAGCCCAGGCUGGCAGCCACAGGCUUUGUGUCGGCGCCAAUGUGAGGCACGGCGGGCAGUAAUUGCACUUUUUUGCAUUGCAAAAUGAUUAUUAGCACCUCGGUUCAUUAUCAGAGCAAAUUUAAUUUUUCAGUGUAAAGGAAGCGGUUGUAUUUAUAAAUGAAACACUGUUUAUACAGCCAGGGGAAAAAAAAAAGAAAAAAAAAAUUAAUUCAUGACAAAUGUAAGGAAAAUUAAUAGUCUUUAACCAGGACAAUAUUUGACUGUCUAAUUGUCUAAUUGUGCUCCGCCAGGUAAAGCACACUCUCAUUUCUGCCGGCUCCUGACGGAGAUUUCCAUAGAAGUGUUUUGCACUCCUGAUGGAGCUGCGUUUAAAUAUUGUGUUAAUUAAUCUUGCACCGAGCAGCCGGGCCAAACCUCGUAAGGGUGCUGCGGGAGCUCAGCGUUCUGCGGUGGAUCCGUGCCUCUGCGGAGGCACUGUGUGCACUCGGGGAGGUCUCGUCUCAUCCGAACCCGUUCAGGCAGAAAUAAGAAAGAAAAGGGAGAGGCCGAAGAUGGGCAGAGCAGGCACAGGGCUCGCAGCAUGCCGAGUGGGCACACCGUGCCUGGUGUGCAGGCGCUGAACCGCAGAGCAGCGCGGGGUGCCGUGGUCACACUUGGGAACUGCCAGGCGAGCACACCGACACGCAGCACCGCGGAUGGCCGACUGCUCGCACGUGGGAGGGAAGAGGUUCAGCAGGAUGUGCGAAGCCACCAGCAGUACUGCAGCCGCACGGGGGGUCCUCAGCACAGGAGGGAUGUGGAGCUGCUGGAGCGCAUCCAGAGGAGGGCCACAAAAAGGAUCCCAGGGACGGAACAGCUCCGUUCCGUUAGGAGGACAGGCUGAGAGCUGGGGCUGUGCAGCGUGGAGAAGAGGAGGCUCUGGGAGACAUGAGAGCGGCCCGUCAGUAUCUAAAGGGGAACAAAAGAGGGGGACAGACUCUUGCAGGGUCUGCUGUGCAAGAACAAGGAGAAACGGUUUUAAGUUAAGGAGGGGAGAUGUAGGUUGGCUAUAAGGAAGAAGGGUUUUUUACAAUAAGAAUGGUGAGGCACUGGAACCUCGGAGCCCAAGAUGUGGUGGAAGCUCCAUCCAUGGAGGCAUUGGAGGUCAGGCUGGAUGGGGCUCUGAGCACCUGGUGGAGCUGUGGAUGUCCCUGUUUGUUGCAGGGAAGAUGGACUAGAUGACCUUUAAGAGUCCCUUCCAGCUGAAAAGGUUCUAUGAUUCUGUGUCUGUGUCUGGUUCCAUGAGGGUUUCUGUAUCCCUGGCUCAGGACUAGGCUGUCUGUGACACCAGCUGUCCCCUUGUCAGGACAUGAGUGUAGCUGUGACACCCACAAGCACACUCUGUGUGCAGCAGUUGAGGUGCAGACUUGAGGACAGUGUGCUGGCUCAUUAACACUCCCCGUUACACUUGGGAUCGGCAUGCCAGGGACGCUGGUUGCACUGGAGCCCUCCUGGUGCUGUGUUGGCACUGCUGUGCAGAUGGAACUCACAGCAUGCAGUGAGGGGGCGUAGAGCCCACCACAGGGCCGCACAUGUCCCUGUUGGGUGCACAGGGCAGGCCAGACAGGCAAAUCCCUGUGCAGUGCAGACAGAGCUCCAUUGGCAGUCCCAUCUCUCACUGUGCCCCACGCAGCCUGGCACAGCUCUGCUCAGGACAGCUUGGAAGCGUGCAGUCUCUUCAACUCAGCCUGCCAACUUGAAGCCAAUUUGCAUUGGAUAAUUAUUUUCAAUUAAGUGAUAACAAUCCUGUUCCGAACAGAAAUAAUCUUGUCCAAAGGCCAAACAGUUUAUCCUGUCUCGGAGAUGAGGCUGCAGCCUUGCGGAGGCACACAUCAGUGUCAGCGCUGUUAUCACCUCCGCUGUGCUGAAGGGAAUGGCCCCUGCUCGGGGAGGGUGGAACAGAACCUGGUGUGCUAACUUAGCAACAUCACAGUGCUGUGCUCCAGUAACCCGCUGCGCUCAGGGCCUUCCCAGUCAUCCAAGGGGUGUGAAACCCUGCUGGCUCAUUCAUGUCACUGGGUGGGAGUGGGGCUGUGUUUCCUUGGCACACCCCCGUGCUGAGCCCGCUGCCCUCCUCCUCCAGCAGCUCCUGCAGCACUGAGUGGGGCAAGCAUGUGCUUUGCACAGCAAGGGUCGACCAGAACAGAGGCGUGCACAGAUGUGGCUCAGCAUCCCCACGCGGCUGUCUGAUGGCAAAGACCAGAUACCAGACAGACACCUCUCCAGGAGCAGCACCCUCUGCAAGGAUGACAGAGCUCUCUGGAAGCAGCCUGCAGAAGCCACCCGGGUGCAUCUGCAUGCCCUCCCCUUGGGGCUGGUUGUGUGCAAGGGUGCUUUACUCGUGGUGGGCAGUAAUUGCAGCCUGGUGAAGUUUACACAUAGGUUUUAAAUCUGUGAGUCUGUAGUAGUAAGAAAAGACAAGCGAGACAGCCUGCUGCCCACAAAGCAAGGGGUCAGCAGGGCUCCCUGCCUUUUCCUAGGGGGGAGGUGAGCCCUAACCCUAAUGAUAGCCCUUACUCAAGCCCAGUCCCAUCCCAACCCUAGUUCUAAACGUAAUCCUAACGCUAACCCAAAACCUAACUCUGACACAACCCAAUCCUAGCCCUAACCCUCCCCAAACUACCUCGCCAGUUUGACAGAAGAGUCAGGAAUCUCGACAUGGAGAAGUGUCGAGCCUAUGGCCAUUUGUUGGCGCUGCCCAAUGGAUGUCACAGCUGCCAGGCAGACGGAGGCAGCAGCUCAGCCAAAGGGUGGGUAGGUGAAAGACCUGAUGUCACCCACCUGCUCUGCUGCGGGAAACAGGCAAACACCUCUGUCUGUGCGGGGAAGUGCCAAGGAGCAGCGGAUGGUGCUUGAUGAGGGUUGUUGGCUUUUAUUUCUCCUUAACUUACUUUUUUUUUUUAAUCCACUGUAUUCCAGUCAGUUGGGAAGAUUGGAAUCCAAAGCUCCUGCAAGUGAAAAAUAGCAAAUCCAAUAUCUUUUUAGUGGUGUUUUUAUAUUCAAAUUAGACAUAAUCUCUAUGAAUAAAAUUACUGUUCCCAAAGGGAUCAUGCCCAAUUUAAAUGUAUAAAAUGUCAUUAAAGGGGUGCUGGCUUGCUAUUAAAAUUUAACUCCAGCAAACCCCUGACGUCCUUUGUAUUAUAGUUUUACAAUUAACCCGGAGAUGUACAAUCUGGUACUGUACAGUAAGUGCAUUGUUUCUGACAAGCCCGCAGCCAGACCAACUGCUGAAAGCAUCACCACAUCCGAGCAGAGACGCUGCACUCCUGCCUCUGGACCCCGCUGCUGGGACACCCCACAGGAAUCCCCCACGUGUGGGGCUGAUGCUCCUUCCCCUCGUGGUCCAGGAAAGCUGCCCUAGCUCGCAGCAGGCAAAGGGUGCAGGACCUCCUGCCCCAAAGCUUUUCUGUCUCAAAAACAAAGGGCACCGGGGAUGGGUGCCCAUCCCGUCCCAUGAGGGAUGGGAAUCAGCGCAAGAAUUGCACUGCAAGAGAAGAUGAGAUUCUAAAAGUGCCUCGGGAACCUGAACUUACAGCGUUCCAUGGGGUCCGUGGGUGAGAUACAUCCCAGGGUCCUGAGGGAAGUGGCUGACGUAGCUGCUCAGCCUCUCUCCAUCGCAUCUGAGAACUCGCGGCUGUCAGGUCAAGUCUCCACUGAAUGGAGAAACGGGAGCAUCACAGAUAUUUGUAAGAAGGCUCCUGGGGAGGGUCCUGGCAAUUACUGACCUGCCAGACUAAACCAGUGCCUGCUAAGAUCGUGCAACAGAUCCUUCUGGAAGUCACGCUAAGGCAUGUGGAGGACAGCGGGAUGGAUAGAGAGGGCAGGCAUAGCUUCACAAAGGGCAAAUCGUGCCUGACUCACCUACUGGCCUUCUGCAGUGGACUGAAAAGUGAAGAGCUGGUGGUCGUCCAACUCAGCUUCUGCAAGACGUUUUAUGUGGUCUCCUACGAUAUUCGUGUCUUUGAAUGGGAGAGAGAUUAUUUGGAUUGACAGACUGUAAGAUGGAUAAGGAAUUGACUGGACGGCUGCAUCCAGUGAGUCCAAGGCUCAGUGCCCAAAUGGAAACCAGUAACAGGUGCUGUCACUCAAGGGUCCGUGUUGGGACCAAUACCACUCAAUAUUUCUGCAGCACAACACGGUCACCGUGAUGGGAAGGCACCCAACACUUGCCCCGGUGCAGGCGGGGGCCAGCGCAGCGCUCUGCCAUCACCCCUCCCCCUGUUGCCUUUCAAGACCAGAAGACAUCUUUUCUUUCUACCAGCUAAUUACUACGCAUUAAAGGGUAUAUAAAUGCACGUUUAAAUAUGCGUUUAACUGUCAGGUUAGUGAACUGCAGGUGAGCGAAUAUCCACGUGACAAAAACACUCACAUCUAACUAGCGUGCAAUGAAUGGGGCAAAAUACUCAAAGCGAUCUCUUACUCUGUAGGAGUGAAAUACCUUCCAAAGCAUUUUAAUUACGGCUGUGGUGUUCCAGAUGCCACGCCUGGUCUUCCUCGCGCCCUCUUCUUCCCAAAGCAACAGAAAAGACGCCUUAAAACCCAGCACUCCCCAUGCAUAGAAGGGAGACACUGGGCUCCUGCAAGGCUGUCACUGAGGGCACGCAGGCAGCAGCACGGAGUGGGCACCCCAGGCCUGGGCUUUGCUGCUGGCUGCCUCCUGCUCCGUCACCUGCCCGACUCAAAGCACAUCCAAGGGAGGCACUCAGCCGAGACGUGCGGCUGGGCACCCGCUCCUGCUGCAGAUUAGCCUUGUCAUUGUGUUUAUGAGAGUAAGAGAAUCUUUCGCCGCUGCAAUGUUUUUCCAUUAGCCAUUACAAGGAGAUGCUGCUGGAGGGGACAAGGAAAAGGCCUCUCCUAUGCAUGACUGAGCCACAAAGGCCAAAUCAGAGGGACAGGUUGCGCCCUGAGUAAUUCCUACCUCGAUUUCCAUGUCAGGACUUGAUGAGGCACGUAACAAAAAGGCUUCUCCUUCCCUGCACGCUGCAGAGCCCACCCCAUGUCCACAGAUGCCGCCUGGAUCUCGCUGCCAGAGGAGGCCCCAGCUCUCAGCUCCAUGCAGGUGCCCUGGUCCGCCCAUGGCUCCAGCCAUCAGAAGGCCCCUCGGGAGCGGUGGGAGCCUCCGUGCAGGCAGCAGCCAAAUGCAGAGCUGAGCCCGGGCCUUUGCAGGCUUCCUCUGGCACACAGAGCUGCACCGCACAGCACGCUGCAGCGCCUGCAUGAGCCCGGAGACCCAGCAGCAUGCACACAUCCCACACCCUCACUGCACAGACACCUUCCCGGGCAUGUUCUGCACAUCCUGCCCCAGGGAGGGGGUUUUGCUUCCCUCACCAGUGGGAAGCAACAGCUCGAUGAAAAUUACGUCUCUUUUCUAAAGGAAGUUCCCAGGUUUAUGCUAACGCCCGAGUGCUUCUGAGCCAUCAGGUGACUGACAACGCAUCAAAUCACAUUUCGCUUCAAAAUACACGAAUCCGAAAUGGAAACAGUGACAGAUUUGGCAUCCGGCAGCCUGGGGGAGAAAUGCCCCAUCCGGGCAUUCGCAACAAUGGAUUGCAUCUAAAACAGGCCUGCGUUCGGUCCUGACCACUAAUGCUCUGCUCAAUCGCAUGGAAAAAAAAAAAAAAAA